GACUUCACAUCCUUUGACAUCAGCACAGCUUUGAAAGGGGGAUGGGAGAGCGAGCAGAAAGCAGAAAAACCAGCUUUGAACUAUGCAUGCAAGGCCUCUUUCAAGCCUCAAAUUCUAUAAGGACGGCUUGAGCCAGAGCAGUUCAGGAAACACUUGAGGAGCAGAGGCAGCAGGGCGCUGGACCAGACAGAGGACAGGAAUGCCCAAGAAGUGGUCUCUGUGUGCGGUAAUGAGCCGAGAUUACAGCUGGCAGCUGGAAACUAAACCCCCGUGGGUGCCACCCAGAGAGAGCUGAGACUGACCAUGGAGUAACGGCCAAGGUCAUGUGUGUAGCCCCGGGCCAUGGAGAGAGGGUACCCUGGAGGGGCUGGGCUCAGGCUGUCUGACAGGCAACGGGCUCCGCAGUGUUCCGAAGAGGGAGUGGCCCUGGUGGUACCUCUCUGUGGCUUAGAGGGGCUGAAGCUAGAACACCGCUGUGACUCUGGGACCGCUGGUUCCCUGAGGGCAAGGGCCACCUUGGGUCAUCGCUCUGAACACCUCCCCUUGCUCUGAGAAGCACAGAUGGCCAGUGUGAACUGCCUCAGCAAUCCAGGGACUGUGUCCUCUCAUCAAGAUAUCAUGGUGAAUCACGAGAAGACACAAAAAUCAAAACAUGCAAGAGAAGAAAAGACUAAUGAAAGCAGAGAUUCCCUGCGCGGCUCUUUCUAAGCCGACUAGAAGAGCAGCAGGCACUCCGAUAACUUCCGCACAGUCCAUUUUUAUUAUUCUUCAACUAACAGGCAAGAAGCCAAAGUUCCUGUAAAUAUAUGCAUAAUUCAUUUGUAAGCAGUUAAACCUCUACUUUUAUGGUAAAGCUUUCAAUUGUAUCAGAAAAUAGGCAGGGCGCAGUGGCUCAUGGCUGUAAUCCUAGCACUUUGGGAGGCGGAGGUGGGUGGAUCACUUGAGCCCAGGAGUUCGAGACCAGCCUGGGCAACAUGGUGGAACCCCGUCUCUACUAAAAAUACAAAAAUUAGCUGUGCGUGGUGGUGCGCACCUGUGGUCCCAGCUACUCGGAAGGCUGAGCUGGGAGGACUGCUUGAGCCUGGGAGGUCCAGGCUGCAGUGAGCUGACACUGUGUCACUGCACUCCAGCCUGGGUGACAGAGUGAAACCCUGUCUCAAAAGAGAAAAUAAACUGCUUUGAAUGAGGGUGAAGUAUUGUACUUGCAUGAGAGGAGAGCAAGAGAUAUAAAAUAUUUAACUGGUAUUCAAAAGCCAAUUUUAAACAAUUCAAGUAAAUUCUAACAGUAAUGUAAUGACUUCUUUUACAAAAGACCAAAUACUCAGCAACUCUUUUGCCCCAGGGUCUCUAGUUAGUUAGCCGAUAAUAAGUCCUACAUUAUUCUGCUAUAACUUUGACUUCUCCUAGUCUUUUCUUUUCUAAAAAUGGCCUCAAAAAACAAGUCCAUGAUUAAUUUACUCUUCCUAUAAGUAUCUUAAAAAAAAAAAAGGUCUCUAUUUAACAUUUAACACUUCUACCUUCUGGUCCAAAAAUGUUAAAUGAAGGCAUUAAUUCAGAAUAAUCUUACAAUGAACAGGUCUGAGGGCUAUAUUCAACCUCACUGUUAAAAAAAAAUAAAAAUAUGAAAUACCUUUUUCUACUUAUCAAAUAACUACAACUUUUACAUGAUCUCAGCAUUGGAGAGGUAUGAUGGACAGGCAUCUCACACACUCUGUAUGUGGUGCUACUCUCUGGAAAGUGUGUAGACAAUAUCUAUUAAGGGUUUUUGAAAGUGCCUGCUCUUUGAUCCAGUACCUCCUUCAUCAAGCUUAAGGAAAGGUUCAAAGAUGUGAACAACAAUGAUAACAAAAGAUUAACAGAACAGUAUCAUUUAUAAUAGCUGAAAAACUGGGGUAUCCACAGAAUGAAAUAAUAAACGGUUGCUAAAAAUCAUGCCUCUCGUUCCCACUAAUGUCAGAAACAAGACAAGUAUGCCUACUCUCACCACCACUAUGUAACAUUUUACUGAAAUUGUUUUACUGAAUUCAUUAGUCAACUGGAGAGAAAGACAUGUGAGUUUACAGUUAUAAACAGAGGUGAAAUUAAGUGCAGAUGCUCUAAUUAAUACCUGAAUAUUCAAAAGAAUCAACUGAAAAACUGAUGCAAACAAUCAGGUAAUUCAGUAAGGAAGCAGGUUAUGAAAGCAAGGCCCCCAAAUUUAAUAGCCUUCAUAUAAACAACUAAUAACUAGAAGACACAAUGGAAGAAAAGACUCCAUUUACAACAGCAAUGAUAAUGAUUAUCUAGGCAUUAGCUUAGUAAGAGACAUGCAAAACCUACAAGGGAAACUUAAAAACAGCCUUAAAGGACAUGAAAGUGGCCUUGGAAAAUAGUCAUAGCAUACUCUUAGAGGAGGCACACAUCACAAGAUGCCAGCCCUCCCUCAGAUAUUUGCAAAAUGUAACAGGAUCCCAAUAAAAAUGCCAACAGUAGCCAGGCAUGGUGGUGCGUGCCUAUAAUCCCAGCUACUUGGGAGGCUGAGGCAGGAGAAUCAUUUAAGCCCAGGAGUUCAAGACCAGCUUGGGCAACAUCGCAUGGAACUGUCUCUAAAAUAAAUAAAUAAAUAAAUAAAGUCAA